rnacentral:rRNA from 1 species
AGCUCCAAUAGCGUAUAUUAAAGUUGUUGCAGUUAAAAAGCUCGUAGUUGGAUUUCUGUCGGAGACAGCCGGUCCACCUUUCUGGUGUGUACUGUGUUCGUCUUCUACAUUUGACAGGAGGAGUUCUCACACUUAACUGUGUGGGUACGAAACCUGUCCUUUUACUUUGAGAAAAUUAGAGUGUUCCAAGCAGGCUUCGCCGUGAAUACAUUAGCAUGGAAUAAUAAGAUAAGACCGUGGUCUUAUUUUGUUGGUUUCUAGGAUUACGGUAAUGAUUAAUAGGGAUAGUUGGGGGCAUUCGUAUUCGACUGUCAGAGGUGAAAUUCUUGGAUUUGUUGAAGACGAACAACUGCGAAAGCAUUUGCCAAGGAUGUUUUCA